UACGAAGGGGGCUAGCGUUGUUCGGAAUCACUGGGCGUAAAGCGCACGUAGGCGGCUGUGUCAGUCAGGGGUGAAAUCCCGGGGCUCAACCUCGGAACUGCCUUUGAUACAGCACGUCUCGAGUCCGGAAGAGGUGGGUGGAAUUCCUAGUGUAGAGGUGAAAUUCGUAGAUAUUAGGAAGAACACCGGUGGCGAAGGCGGCCCACUGGUCCGGUACUGACGCUGAGGUGCGAAAGCGUGGGGAGCAAACAGG
rnacentral:rRNA from 1 species